rnacentral:rRNA from 1 species
AUUGAACGCUGGCGGCAGGCCUAACACAUGCAAGUCGAGCGAGCGGCGGACGGGUGCGGAAUGUAUGUGGACCUGUUCGUGAGGGGGGGAUAACUAUAGGAAACGGUAGCUAAUAACGCAUACUAUCGGCUGAACCCAUAUUGGAUUAGCUAGUAGGUGAGGUAAUGGGUCACAUGGGCGACGAUCCCUAGCUCGUCUGAGAGGAUGAUCAGCCACACUGGGACUGAGACACGGCCCAGACUCCUACGGGAGGCAGCAGUGGGGAAUAUUGCACAAUGGGCGCAAGCCUGAUGCAGCCAUGCCGCGUGUGUGAAGAAGGCCCUAGGGUUGUAAAGCACUUUCAGUCGGGAGGCGUUACCGACAGAAGAAGCACCGGCUAACUCCGUGCCAGCCGCCGCGGUAAUAC